rnacentral:rRNA from 1 species
UACGGGGGGGGCAAGCGUUGUUCGGAAUUACUGGGCGUAAAGGGCUCGUAGGCGGCCAACUAAGUCGGACGUGAAAUCCCCAGGCUCAACCUGGGAACUGCGUCCGAUACUGGAUGGCUUGAAUUCGGGAGAGGGAUGCAGAAUUCCAGGUGUAGCGGUGAAAUGCGUAGAUAUCUGGAGGAACACCAAUAGCGAAGGCAGCUCGCUGGGACGGUACUGACGCUAAGGCGCGAAGGCGUGGGGAGCGAUCCGG